AAUUCAGCUGAAAAAGUCAUGAACAUAAAAGUUGUAGAAUUCAUCAAGACAUACAACUUUAAUUUUGAUCUUUUCUUCAUCCGACAAAGUGAUAGUAACAUUGUUCACAAAAUUUACAUCUCUAUCUUAUUGUUUAUAAAACCAAAUGAGAAAUAUGUAACUUUUGUGAACAAUGUUACUAUCACUUUGUUGGAUGAAAAAAUGACCAAAAUAAAAGUUAUAGAUCUUGAUGAGUUAUACAACUUUGUUGUUGAUGACUUUUUCAGUUGAAAUU
rnacentral:pre_miRNA from 1 species